AUACACGUGCUGUUUGGCUGUCGUCCCCUCGUGUACCGAAAUGUUGGGUUAAGUCCCGCCACGAGCGCAACCCUUUUCCUUAUUUGCCAGCAAUGUAAUAUGGGGAUCUUUAAGGAUAACGGCCGGUAAUAAACCCGAGAAAGGUGGGAACAGGUUCAAGUCUUAAUUGCCCUUACCGACUAGGGUUCACCCCUGGUUCCAUGGUCGGAUCCAAAGGGUUGCUACACAGCCCUGGGGAGACCAAUCCUAAAAAAGCCGAUUCUUAUUCCGAAUUGGAAUUUGCCCCUUGCAUUCAAUGAAGUGGGAUUCCCAACUAAUCCCGGAACAAAAUGCCACGGUGAAUACCUUUCCGGG
rnacentral:rRNA from 1 species